rnacentral:lncRNA from 1 species
CAGCUGUGGAGCUUGGCUGAGGUGGGGGUAUGGAUGACUGAAAAGGAACAAGAGGGAACUUUAUGAGAAUCAGUUCAAUAGCAACAAAUGGUCUACUUACUCCAGCUCCCAGCUUCCUUUGGCAUUCCCAGCAUUGCCCUGAGAAGGUCCUCCUCCAAGAAAAGAGCACCAGCUGCCUAAGUUUAAGCAAUGGCCAUAACCCCCUCCUCUGUACCCUAAGUUUUAUUAAGUCCACCUCUUCCCUCCAGCUCCAACAGACCCAGGAGGUCAGCUGCUUCCUGCAGACACUAAUUGCCUGUCAACAACAGAUAUUCCUGAAAUAUUAGUUUGAUCAGUGCAAGCAAGAAGACACAAAUGAACGGGUGCAUCUGAGGUCUGUCAGGGUUCAGACCAGCCCUGCUGAUCAAGUGUCUGUUUCGCUACCUUGAUGUUCACAUGUGAAAGUGAAAAAUCAGAAUUUCUCAGCUGGAGCAGGAGAAAAAAUCAAAGACAAGCCAUUUGUUUAGAAAACGAGCUAUAUAUCUUUGCUAAAGCUUAGCUUCAUAUCUACUUUCGAGAAGAUUAAAGGAGCUAAAAAUUCAAAACAAAACAAACACCUAAUUAUCUUCAGCUCAAUUGUCCAAACAUGUUGAUUAUAUCUAUUAAUUUAUCCUGACCUAUCACCAAGUCAAU